rnacentral:rRNA from 1 species
UGAUCCUGGCUCAGGACGAACGCUGGCGGCGUGCCUAAUACAUGCAAGUCAAGCGGACAGAAGGGAGCUUGCUCCCGGAUGUUAGCGGCGGACGGGUGAGUAACACGUGGGUAACCUGCCUGUAAGACUGGGAUAACUCCGGGAAACCGGAGCUAAUACCGGAUAGUUCCUUGAACCGCAUGGUUCAAGGAUGAAAGACGGUUUCGGCUGUCACUUACAGAUGGACCCGCGGCGCAUUAGCUAGUUGGUGGGGUAAUGGCUCACCAAGGCGACGAUGCGUAGCCGACCUGAGAGGGUGAUCGGCCACACUGGGACUGAGACACGGCCCAGACUCCUACGGGAGGCAGCAGUAGGGAAUCUUCCGCAAUGGACGAAAGUCUGACGGAGCAACGCCGCGUGAGUGAUGAAGGUUUUCGGAUCGUAAAGCUCUGUUGUUAGGGAAGAACAAGUGCGAGAGUAACUGCUCKCACCUUGACGGUACCUAACC